ACCGACGGAGGAUAGAGUAAGUCGUCGCGAGACGGCUGGCUGUGAAAUUCGAC
rfam:Haloferax sp. SB29 contig_33, whole genome shotgun sequence.